rnacentral:rRNA from 1 species
GUCGAGAAUCUUUCACAAUGGGGGCAACCCUGAUGGAGCGACGCCGCGUGGAGGAUAAGGUCUUCGGAUUGUAAACUCCUGUCAUGCGUGAACAAGGUUGCUUGGUUAAUACCUGGGCAAAUUGAUGGUAACGCAAGAGGAAGAGACGGCUAACUCUGUGCCAGCAGCCGCGGUAAUACAGAGGUCUCAAGCGUUGUUCGGAAUCACUGGGCGUAAAGGGUGCGUAGGUGGCGUGGUAAGUCAGAUGUGAAAGCCCGGGGCUCAACCUCGGAACUGCAUCCGAUACUGCCAUGCUAGAGUACAGGAGAGGUGACUAGAAUUCUCGGUGUAGCAGUGAAAUGCGUAGAUAUCGAGAGGAAUACCAAAGGCGUAGGCAGGUCACUGGACAGUUACUGACACUGAGGCACGAAGGCCAGGGGAGCGAACGGGAUUAGAAACCCCUGUAGUCC